rnacentral:lncRNA from 1 species
ACGUGACGUGUGCAAGUAUAUACGUUUGUGUGAUAUUCUGGGGACGGGCAGACACGCUUGCCGUACACGCGGCCAAACACACGGCCGCAACGCGGUUACUCAUGAAAGAAUAUGGUUUUUCUUUUGAAGCAAACAAGUGGCGUGAUAUUUUUUCCUACGAAAUCCCUUCAAUUUUUUUUUUAUUUUAAAAACUUUUUAUAACGUUUUUGUUUUAAAAUUCCUCAAUUUAUCUUUAUUAUUUUAGAGUUUUUUAAUUUUAAUUUUAUUUUCUAUUAAAAAAAUCUUCUCGAGCAAAUUUAAAAUUAUAUUGCAAUUUUAAAAACUUAAUACUGUCUCAAAUAU